rnacentral:snRNA from 1 species
GUGCUCGCUUCAGCAACACAUAUACUAAAAUUGAAACAAUACAGAGACGAUUAGCAUGGCCUCUAUGCAAGGAUGACAUGCAAAUUCAUGAAGAGUUCCAUAUUUUU